AUAAAUAAAGUUUAGUGCAGUGCCUGGCCAGACAAGCACGGGCACGUGGCAGGCAUCUGUGGCACAUGAUCUGCUUCACAGGAGAGCUGCCCUCCACCGUCCAGGCUUUGGGGACGCCCUGUGGACUCAGCGCUGAGUCAGCAUUGGGCUUCCAGCCUUCAGUGCUCACAAAUGAGGACAGACUGUGACAUGCAGUGGGAACCACAGACAGGUGAAAUGCUAAUUAGAAGUGACCCCGCCUGUCCCCAAACUGAUGAGCAUGUUGGGAAACGUGCCCGAGUAUGGCUGGGCCUGACCCGUGGAAACACCUCUGCUGUGAUUAGCCACGGGGAUGCUGGAGGACAUCGGCUGGCCUCUGCCUCCAUGUGGGCCACAGUCUGGCCGGGGGCGGAAGACUCUCCUACACGAACCAGUGAGUGGACCAGGCGGGAUCUCCCCAAGGGCCACCUGCAGCAUGCAGUCCUGGCCACUGGAGACCAGAGUGACUGGUGAGCCAUGGGCCAGACGCAGGUGUGGGCAGAGCAGAUGGCAGAAGGCCGGAGGCUGUGGCAGGCGGCCCGUGUGUGGGAUGCUGUGACUCAGCCACCCAAGGACCGGCUUCAGGUCUUCACGCCCCACCUGCAAUUGAGUCUCCACGCUCCUGACCAGGAAUAGAACAUUUUCUUUCCUUUUCCUGUUUUUGGUGAGGGGUAACCCUGUGGCCACAGGUGAGUCAUGGCCAAGGCCGAGGCCCUCCGUGCCAGCGCUGCUAUGGGCCGCUGGCUCUGCGGUUUGCAUGUGCAGGGCUCACUGCGGCACGCCGACAAGUGCCCACAAGAAAGACGACCGUUAGAGAUGUGCUCCUGCAGACGACUCCAUCCCACCUGUCACAGAGGUAGGCACGGCAACCAUCUGCUAGAUUCUCUAGUCCCGCCCCUCCCCUUUCAUUUUUAACCACAGAUUUCACAGUUUGCCUUACUUAUUUAAAUCUGUUAUUUAGAAAAAGACGUGUGUAUUGCUAAGUAAGGAAAUGGCAGCUUUGCCCAUUGAAGCCUGUUCUUUCUAGUCCCUGUAGCUGGCUGUGGUCCCCUGAGAACCUCAUGUUCGAGCCUGGGUAUCCCAUGACUGGGCUGGAUUUAGGACCUGGUCUGCCUGGACUACUGGGUGCUCUGCACUAGACAGGGAGGAGAACUGUGAAAGUCAAGGUGACCUGUCUUUUUAAGAGUAAUACUUAUUACCCCACCUUCUUGAUCCCCACGGUGGGGGAUAUUGAUCUCUACUUUAACCCAGGGACAAUAUGAUGCUCCUGAAGUCACGCUGCACAGCCAGACCAUUGAUUCAGUUAUUCCGCACCUACCAUGUGCCACACACUGUAUGCCGGCAUUGGCGAUACCUCGGGGGGAGAGAUGAAGUCCCCAUGGAGCCAACACAGGCAAAUUGUGUUAAGUGCCGUGAAAGGAACAGCCAUGAUGGAGAAAGGAGAAUAGCGAAGAAGACCCUGGGGCAGGGACGGCCCUGGGAGAGGGACUCAGAAGCUGGGACCUGGCGGAGGAAAGUCUUCAGGAUGCAGCGUGUAUUUUGCACUCACAGCACAUCUCAAUCUGGACUGGCCACACUACAAGGACUUGAGAGCCACAUGUGGCUAGUGGCUGCCAUGUUGGAUGACGCAGGUUUCUGGAACUGUCCUCGACUAGCAGCCAAUAGACCUGCCCUUGAUGAGCAGAUGAGGCUCAGAAACAGAGAUUCUCCCUUGAGCUGGCUCAGGAAAGGGGGUUCCGUGCAAGGAUCUACGUGGAAGGGAUGGUGACUCAGAACAGGAGCCCUGGCCCAGCUGGCCCUCGUGGGAGCUGGGGCUGCCAGGGGAAAGCCCUCCCAAGCCAGGGCCACACUCCCAUCUUUCCAGGAACCUGCAGCCCAUGUCGCUGCCCUCUGAGUGUCUGCUCUAUCCUCCAGUCUCUGCCCCUGGCUCCUCCACGCCCUCAGCCUGCACCCAAACAUCACGGGAUCGCCUGCUUUGCUUCGCCCCUCCCCUUCCUGCACCACAAUCCUUCAAAUAGCACAGCCUCUCAGUUUCCCAAACUUACGGCCUGAAGGAGGAAUCUUGGAUGCCCAGAGCAUCUUUCUCACCAGGCCACAGCUCAGGGGCCUUGGGAGAGGCCCUACUUAAGUCGCAGCCCACCCUGAUUUAGCCGACAUGGGAGGAGGGGCAGAUUCCACGGGGGCAGGAGGGUGAAAUAAGAUUGGCCCCACAUCUGACAUGCAGGAACGGGAACAGGGGAGGCAAAAGCCACUCUUGAGGGUUCAGAGACAGCCCUCCCACAAUACUCUGUCCAAAGGGAAGAGAAGUGUUUCCUCUAAAGGCUGGGUUAGUUCAGCGGCAACUGGAAUGUUAGGGAAUCCACAGAGAAACAGGUUCCCUGCGGCAACAGCUAGACUCAGACUCGAGGGUUUGAAAAGGAGCUCAGAGACAUUAAUUCCCAUGACACCUUUAUCCUCUUGGGGACCUGGGCACAACAGCAUAGCAUUCAUAAUGGGCUCUUGUUAAAGGUCUUCAUUUCUGUCUGAUUCCAGCAGAAGAGCUUCAUAUUUGUAUUUUUGAGCCCUCACUUUCCUGGGAGGAAGAUGGGAAGGUCAGAUGAAAUGCUGGUGAAGAAAGGCCGUAACUUCCCGGAGGUGUUGAACAUGACAAAGAGGAAGCUGUCCCCCCAGUAGAAACUGGGAGGACAGUUUCCUCUUUGCCUCCAACUGAGAGACCUCAGGCCACCUCUGGGAUUCUGAGUUUCCCUCCACGUGGGGACUGAGCACUGGGGCCAGGACUGGAAGGAUUUGGAUUCCGCCAUGGCUGGGGCAGGGCCCUGCUUCUGCCUCCAUGGCCUGCAGUGCCAGGAAGGCUUGGAGCUGCUCCCUGGCCUGUGACCACCCUGGGAAACAACAAGCUAAGGGCUCAGAGCCACAGCAUCGGCACGGCUGGAAGGGCCACAGAACCCUGCCAGAGCCCAGCCUGACAGCCACAGAGCAGCCACCUCACCCAAGGUCGGGGAAGCAGGAAGCCCAGCCCUGUUCACACAGCCGCAGAGAGACCACACUUUAUUAGUGUUGCUUUCAUCGUAUUAACACAAGGAAUAACAAGUGCUUUCAACAUCCUAAAUCACACAUCUGGGAGCUGCAGGAGGCUAUAAAGACGCAAACCCUGCAAAGAGCUGGCCACUUGUCCAGGCUUUAAGAGGUUCAGAUGGACUUCAGAUCUGUCUCACUUGAUUUCUGGGCUCAGCCCCACCUCACCAGGUCACCCAGCCUCACUCAAGGCCAGACACCGUGGUCCUGAUUGCUCAGGCAGCAGCCAAGUUCCAAUGUUCCAUCCAAACGCUGCCAUCUCCAGAACCACUUGAAAGAACUAGGACUUGGAACUCUCCUUGGUAGACAGAGCUGUCCGUGAGAAAGACUGAAAGCCUGGCCAGCCGCAGUGGGGCGCAGAGGACAGGUUCGGGCAGAAAAGACCCUUGCAUCUCAGCGUGGGCCUUCUACCCCCAGGGGGACAGCCCAGACCCUCUUGGAAUAGCGCUGACUCUGCCUGCAGAGGGCCGGCACCCUUGGGGUCUGUGAAUUCCAUUUGCGGUGGCCACAGCAGUGAAGCCACGCUGCACAGGCUCUAUGCGCUCCCUCGCCAUGUGCUUAUCGAGUGAUGCCAUUUGCAGCUGGUCGCCACGGGCUCCUUAGCCAGGUUAGGAUUCUCAGGUGGGAAUCCUAACCCCUGCCUUGCUUACUGCACAGGGCUGUUCCAUCAGUACAAAAUGGAAGAGCUAUGUGAAUGGCUGGGUGCCGAAAAAUGUAAUGAUGGCACUUGUUGAAAUGCCAUCUAACCUGCAGAACAUAUUUUAUGGCCCAUAAAAAUGUAGUUUCCUCUGUGGAAUAAGGACAAUGCAAAUUCCAGGGCAAAAUGUGAAACAAGAAAUAUUGGGCCAACA